rnacentral:rRNA from 1 species
AGGACGAACGCUGGCGGCGUGCUUAACACAUGCAAGUCGAGCGGAAAGGCCCUUCGGGGUACUCGAGCGGCGAACGGGUGAGUAACACGUGAGUAAUCUGCCCCUAGCUCUGGGAUAGCUCCGGGAAACCGGGAUUAAUACCGGAUACGACCACUUUAGACAUCUGUUGUGGUGGAAAGAAUUUUGGCUAGGGAUGAGCUCGCGGCCUAUCAGCUUGGUUGGUGGGGUAACGGCCUACCAAGGCGACGACGGGUA